AAACCGCGAUAACUGAUGUGAAUUGCAGAACUAUGUGAAUCAUCAAAAUUUUGAACGCAAUUGCGCCUUCGGGUUUCGAUCCGGAGGCAGGCUUAUUUGAGUGUUGACCUUUAAUUCUGUUCUCAACUACUAACUGAGCCAGAUAUUGGCGGUCCAAUCGAUUAAUCGAUCGAGUCCGUUGAAAUGGAAAAUCUACUAAUUAAAGUACGCCUAGUGCUAUGUUUUAGCUAGGGUUUUUAAAACCAUAAAUAAGACAGGCUCUAGACGCUUAACUAGCUAGAUAUAUUAAUGAAUCACCUAUUUAAAAGGUAGCCUCAACAACACUUUUUUAUACUUAAGCAAUCAACCUCAAAUUAAGUCAGGACACCCGCUGAAUUUAA
rnacentral:misc_RNA from 1 species